GCGCUCGCUUCGGCAGCACAUAUACUAAAAUGAAACGAUACCGAGAUUAGCAUGGCCUCUGCACAAGAAUGACAUGCAAAUUCGUGAAGCGUUCCGUAUUAAA